AAAAAAUACAAAAAUGAGUUCACCAAAUAUUGGCAUGAGCUAUUCGAAAGAUCCUCCUACAAAUACGAAUUCGAAUGAUGCUAAGAAAAAUGAAGUCUCGUCCUUCAAAAAAAAAAUAAAAAAAAAUGAAGUCUCGGACCAAAUGAAACAGAUGAGCUAUUCGAAUUCUCCUCAUAAGGCAAAUUCUAGUCCUCAAAAAUCUCAGACACUAAGUACUCAAGAUUCUAUGUCUUAUCCCAACUAUAAAUGAUGAGGCCAACAGGAUCGUUCGCUUGUGGAAAUUUCACAUGGGAUGAAAAUUUACAGAAGCAGCAAAUUCUACUGUUUGUUUGUUUGUUUGUUGUAUUAUGAUAUUAAUUCAGGUUGUUUGUUUGUUAAUUUACUCGAAUGUAUUGAUCAAAGUGUGUAUGGGUGUAUAAAUAAGACUCAAUGUAUUGAUCAAAGUGUGCAAUAUUUUAAUAAAAUUUGAGAAAUCAUUUGGUCCA